UACGGAGGGGGCUAGCGUUGUUCGGAAUUACUGGGCGUAAAGCGCGCGUAGGCGGCUUUGUAAGUUAGAGGUGAAAGCCCGGAGCUCAACUCCGGAACUGCCUUUAAGACUGCAUCGCUAGAACGAUGGAGAGGUGAGUGGAAUUCCGAGUGUAGAGGUGAAAUUCGUAGAUAUUCGGAAGAACACCAGUGGCGAAGGCGACUCACUGGACAUCUGUUGACGCUGAGGUGCGAAAGCGUGGGGAGCGAACAGG
rnacentral:rRNA from 1 species